rnacentral:rRNA from 1 species
UGGGGGAUAUUGGACAAUGGGGGGAACCCUGAUCCAGCGACGCCGCGUGAGUGAAGAAGUAUUUCGGUAUGUAAAGCUCUAUCAGCAGGGAAGAAAGAAAUGACGGUACCUGACUAAGAAGCCCCGGCUAACUACGUGCCAGCAGCCGCGGUAAUACGUAGGGGGCAAGCGUUAUCCGGAAUUACUGGGUGUAAAGGGAGCGUAGACGGUGAUGCAAGUCUGGAGUGAAAGGCGGGGGCCCAACCCCCGGACUGCUCUGGAAACUGUGUAACUGGAGUGCAGGAGAGGCAGGCGGAAUUCCUGGUGUAGCGGUGAAAUGCGUAGAUAUCAGGAGGAACAUCGGUGGCGAAGGCGGCCUGCUGGACUGUAACUGACGUUGAGGCUCGAAAGCGUGGGGAGCAAACAGG